UAGUGAUUUGUUUGCAGUCUUGUGUCGUAUAUCAUCGUUAUUAUGAUAUAUAUCAUCGAGUAGUGUUAGGCAAACUACUAGACGCGUGGAUCGAAUGUUGCGGGACUGACUAUCAUGCGAACCAAUGUCCACUGAAAUAAACAAUUAUCCUUCGACACGAAUGCUUCAUACAUCAAACGAGUUUAAAAGAGAAUCUGAAAGCGACCAUAGAAGCAACAUCCUCGACGCGUAUCAUAAUUUGUACGUGUAUAUAUGUACGCAAUAGAUGACUGUGAAUUGGUUCGCUCAUACAUGACUCGUACACAGCGCGUCUUGCAAGGGAUUACAUAGAUAUCUAUUCGCGAUUUCGUCACUCUGUUGUACAUUCGAAUGCGAACGUUCGUAGAAAGUAAACGUCCAAAUAGUGUUCAUAUUUUAAGUGAAACGCUGCUCCAUUUCUGCUUUUUAUGUCUUAUUAUAGAAGAUCCAAUUUAUAGGGCUAUUUUCUUCUUUCACGAAACGGUUAUUCAACGAUAUUGGCUAACUUGCAUAUCUAUAGCUUUCAUCGAGCUUGGUGGUUCGCGAAUCAGCGCAACGAAUUGUGUCAUUGCUUUGGCAAGCGCAUCGUCAACAAGUAAUUGAAAAUCAUACUGAACGAGUGCACUUGUGCUUGACAAGAGCCUUAUUCCGCCAAGAUAGUAGCAGUUAAAGACAUUCGUGUGUUCGACGAUGCGUGUCAAACCACCCUUUCGCCUUCCUUCCCGCUCACCUUCACUCGCGAAGUAGAAGUGGCUCCUAUUAAUUCUGCGCCCAUUGUAAGGCAGUGAAACGAAAUGCAAUAGCUACGAUGGAAAAUUUUUCACCGCCGAUACAAACACUUGUACGCACUGGAUGUAAUAUUUUUUAUAGAAAUCUUUAAUUGCGAAAUACUACAUAUAUGUGCUUCCAAUGACUCUCCAAAGAAAGAGAUACAAACGUAAGAAAUAGAAAACGUGAGAGAAAAGAAUGAGAAAAUGGAAACGAAUGUUUUUGUAGAAUGAUGUACAUAGAAAGAAUGGUUUAUCGCCAAGUAUUCGCUUUUAGAAAGUACCUGUUACAUACAAACACGUAAAGUAUUACACAUUAGAUAAUUGCGAUGAUUGAUCGAGUCACGCGAAAGAAAGUGAUUAACAUUAAUCAAGACAAUCUUAAUGUGUAUCUAUGUUGUGUCAGUCAUAUAAAAACAUUAAUUACUUUAAUCAACAAUCAGUGUUUCAUCAAUUAAUCCAGUCAAGUGUUACGUCCAAUUAAAUGUAGAAGCAAUGAACAAUGGAAACCCGGAACCUUCGCUUUACUGUAUGAAAACAUCUACCACUGGUGCGCAUAUACCGCUCUCUGGCACGAUUUUAUUUAUACUUUUAAUUGCAAUAAUCAAGUUUCGUAGAAUUUCGUGAUAAAAUUUCUACACAGGAUCAUGUUAUAAAUAUGCAUAAAAAAUCGAAAAAGUAUCUGAAUAAUAAAUUGGUAGUCGUUGUAACACUCACCAUCGACAUUGUGAAUAACACUUGCAAAAUAUCGACCUCUGACGUUCAGUUUCGUUUCGCUUGUUGAGUUGCUUACACACUGGUGAACACCCGCGUGAAAACGUAAUUCCGAAACGAUUUGUCUAGUGUCUUCUAAACACGACCAGGAACUGUUCUAGUUUAAAUGUCUCGGGAGAAUGUCGCGCGUGGUUCCAGCAUCCCCCUUCUUGUUACGUACCCCACCUGACCAGAAACCCAGUUGCGAAGGUUCGUAAGGACUCGCACGGCGAUACGGUAGAACUUUCAUUUCGGUGAACGCGAUGCAACCAUCCUUUAUACGUUUUGAAGGUGCCGCGCGCAAGGAUGACCAAUGUAUGCGCUUCAUUGUAUGCGCAAGAGUGCGUUCCUUCGGCGCGUUAUACGCGGUUGCGUCACUGCUACUACGAAAUUGUCAAAAAAUGAAGAAAUUUGAUCUUUUAACGGCGGACUGUUGUUACAUAUAAGGCGUAUCUGUGAACGUAUCAAUGUGAUUCUUUCAACUGAAAUCAUAAAUUUGCAACUACUUGGACUUUUUAUUAUAUGUCAUCGAAUGAUAUAUUGGCGUUUACGAAGUUCGAAAUCAUAUCUAAAAAAUGCAUUAUUGGCUGGUCACGUGAAAAAAUAGGGGUUCACAUCAUAGACGCCACAGGCGAUUAAUAAUCGAUAAUUCGAAGAGAUACGAAAUGACGCCAUACAUGUUUAUUAAUAAAUUCUGUUGUUGAUUUCUCAUGCAGAUUUGUUCUUCCUCUUCCUCCUGUUUCUUGAAAAGGAGCUAGCGGGGCUUCAAAAGCCAAGAAUUUUUCUUCUAUAGGUUUACAUGAUUCCUCCUUGAUGAUGGCCUUCACGACGACUUUUCCUGGGCAGCAUCGAUGUCUACGUUCC